CCUACGGGGGACAGCAGUGAGGAAUAUUGGUCAAUGGGCGUAAGCCUGAACCAGCCAAGUCGCGUGAGGGAUGAAGGUUCUAUGGAUCGUAAACCUCUUUUAUAAGGGAAUAAAGUGUGGGAUGUGUCCUAUUUUGUAUGUACCUUAUGAAUAAGGAUCGGCUAACUCUGUGCCAGCAGCCGCGUUAAUACGGAGGGUCCGAGCGUUAUCCGGAUUUAUUGGGUUUAAAGGGUGCGUAGGCGGCCUUUUAAGUCAGCGGUGAAAGUCUGUGGCUCAACCAUAGAAUUGCCGUUGAAACUGGGGGGCUUGAGUAUGUUUGAGGCAGGCGGAAUGCGUGGUGUAGCGGUGAAAUGCUUAGAUAUCACGCAGAACCCCGAUUGCGAAGGCAGCCUGCCAAGCCAUGACUGACGCUGAUGCACGAAAGCGUGGGGAUCAAACAGGAUUAGAGACCCUUGUAGUC
rnacentral:rRNA from 1 species